UGAAUUUUUCUUCUCAGUAUUUAUCUCUUUUUAGCUUUGGUUGUGGUUGCAAUUCUGCAGAUAGUCAUCAGUAGUGACACUGAUGAAAUCUAUGGGGCUGAUGCAAGCCACUGUCAGAAUCAGGCCCAUAGAAGUAAUGUUUUAGUUUUCCUAUGAUCAUUUUGCCAGCUGGGACCUUAUUUUAAUGGUAUCUAUGCAAAACAGUUCCUGAAGGAGACUUCUAAGGGAGGGGUUGGGGGAAAUUCAAGGGUGUCCAUUCAUCAGUGGGUCUGGGAGUCUGGAUAUAUUUACAGGCUUGAGGUCUCCCUAUGGAUCUCUGUCCACAUCCACAGCAGCAGGAGGCUGGGCCUAAGGGUCAAGCAGCACUGGAAGGCCCCCCUUGAGAGGGGUUCCUUAUUUGUUGUAUUUUCCUUCUUUUCUUCUCAGCACAAAACUUGCAAAGUAAAUAUGACCCACAGAGUUUUGGUGACCACUUGAAUGCUUUGUAAAAAUGUGAUGAAGCAUCAGUGUAUUUUUAUAUUGUUAUAUUAUUAUUUAUAUUCUUUAUUAUGUUAUAUGUCUGCUAUCUCAGCAGACCUGUGUUAGAGCAGACCCCAGGAAGACUCACAAAAAAUCACAUGAAAUUGCCUGUCAUGACUUUGUACUGGGGACCUGAGAAGGAAAUGGAGCAAAUUUUACCCUCCAGGACCCAGAGGACAAAGAAACUUAAGGAACCCUGAGUACUGUUGAUGGUAUGGAGUGCAGGAGGACGUAGGAGCUCUGCUUCUUGCCCCACGGAGGCUUUUUAGCAUGCCAAUCACCAUGGAAUGAGGGCAACUUCCAGUAGAGGCUGAUGAGUAGCCACUUUUCCUGCUACUGCUGAAGCCACUGGAAAAAUCUGAUUGAUCCAGGAUGUCACGUCAGAGCCUAAUUCCCCUUUAUGCAAGCACCCAUAUGCUUGUGUCCAGUGCUUAAUAAAAGGGCCUGGCAGCCCAGCAAGAUAAUAAAAGAUAAAGCAAACUGUAGGACAAUGGAAAAUGCUGAGCUCCCUGAGUAAUUACAGUUGUGUAAGACGGU